GUUUCCUCCCUCCCCCGCCUAGGAGGGGGAAAGAGGAAAGGGGGAGUGUGGCGGGGCGGGUGAUAAUGGGGAGGUAUCAGGGCAAAUAAUAGAGCAGGGGUUGGGCGAAGAGAGCGCCAGUGCGUAGCGACGAUUCUGGGAGAGGAGGUGCUCGGAGGAAAGGGCGGGGGUUGCUGAUGUAAUGGGGAGAAGUGAUUAAUCCUUCGGUUCGCCGUUUCAGCUUCCCCCCUACCCCAACCUUCACCCGAUUUUUUUGAACUGAAAAAAAAGUGGAACGAGGGAGCCAAUCUUUGGUCCCACAAACUGCAAGGAAAAGAAAAACCCUCAAGAGGAAUUACCUUUAUACCUGAUGCCCCCAACAUAAUCUCUCUCCAAGGGAAACUUGUUUUUAUUGCCUUGCGGCUGUUACGAUGACUGAAAAUGUAUUCUGGAUUCUCCCCCUUCUCUCUUUUGUUUUGCAUUUUUUGGAUGUGGUAAAACUGGCAGUUUAUCUGAUUAUCUGGUUUUCAGAACUUUGGACGAUGUCUCUGAGUGUCAUCAGUUGCUGUCUAGGUUUGACAUAGAUAAUUAAGCAACUACAAAGCGUGAUAAAGCUUUUGAGAGGGAGGAAAGUGUAUUUUGGAAGGAGGGAGAGACGCAAAGAGGCGAGCCUGUGUGUUGAGUCCCAGACUUGGUGUGUGACUACAGGCAAAGUACUUCACCUUUCUAGAUGUCAGCCCCGCCCCCCUCACCUCCCAAGUUUAAAUAAGAACUUAUUUUAGACUACAUGAUCCUGUUUUCAAUUUUUAAGAGUUCUGUGAUUUUGAGAUGAUCUCUCUUUAGUCCAGAAAAAUGGAGGAAUGUAGGUCUAUGUUUGUUUCUCAAAAAAAUAUUUGAGGAGGACAGCUGUUACAAAACAGCUGGAGAACUCCAAAUUUUUAUGGUGGUUAGCUAGGUGCAAAUGGGUACAAUUUUAGGUUUGUUCAAAUAAACAUAGGGGAAAAGUAAAAGUACAGGAAAAUUACAUUAUACAUAUAAGUGUGUCCAUUUCUGAUUUUUCUAAAAAUUUACUUUUUGAUUUGACAAGUACUUUUUGGCUCCUUCCGUGUAUGCAUUAAUAUGUAUAUAAGGUGUUAUGG
rnacentral:lncRNA from 1 species